AUUGAACGCUGGCGGCAUGCCUUACACAUGCAAGUCGAACGGCAGCACGGGAGCAAUCCUGGUGGCGAGUGGCGAACGGGUGAGUAAUAUAUCGGAACCGUGCCCGAGUCGUGGGAUAACGUAGCGAAAGCUACGCUAAUACCGCAUACGAUCUAUGGAUGAAAGCGGGGGAUCGCAAGACCUCGCGCGAUUGGAGCGGCCGAUAUCAGGAUUAGGUAGUUGGUGAGGUAAAGGCUCACCGAAGCCGACGAUCUGUA
rnacentral:rRNA from 1 species